GAUGAACGCUGGCGGCGUGCCUAAUACAUGCAAGUCGAGCGAAUGGAUUGAGAGCUUGCUCUUAUGAAGUUAGCGGCGGACGGGUGAGUAACACGUGGGUAACCUGCCCAUAAGACUGGGAUAACUCCGGGAAACCGGGGCUAAUACCGGAUAACAUUUUGAACCGCAUGGUUCGAAAUUGAAAGGCGGCUUCGGCUGUCACUUAUGUAUGGACCCGCGUCGCAUUAGCUAGUUGGUGAGGUAACGGCUCACCAAGGCAACGAUGCGUAGCCGACCUGAGAGGGUGAUCGGGCACACUGGGACUGAGACACGGCCCAGACUCCUACGGGAGGCAGCAGUAGGGAAUCUUCCGCAAUGGACGAAAGUCUGACGGAGCAACGCCGCGUGAGUGAUGAAGGCUUUCGGGUCGUAAAACUCUGUUGUUAGGGAAGAACAAGUGCUAGCUGAAUAAGCUGGCACCUUGACGGUACCUAACCAGAAAGCCACGGCUAACUACGUGCCAGCCGCCGCCGUAA
rnacentral:rRNA from 1 species